CGCAGAAGCAGCUUGGAUUCCGUGUUGCUGUGGCUGUGGAAUAGGCCGGCAGCUAUAGCUCUGAUUUGACCCCUAGCCUGGGAACUUCCAUAAGCCAUGGGUAUACCCCUAAAAAGACAAAAAACAAAACAACAACAACAAAAAAACAAAAAACCAACAAAAUUCCAACUUAAUACAUUAACAGUUGGCAUUUAGAAUAGAAAUGUAUUCAUGAAUAUAAAUUUUAAGUUUUCUAAGGAUUAUUUCCAUGGUAUGAUCUUAGCUAAUAUUUUUUGUGGCCUGCCAAUCCCAGAAUGACUCUUUCUCAGAGUUUAGUGAUACUUCUAUUCUUACUGUGUACACUCUGCAGAAAACUCAUCUAUAGCCACUGGAUCAAAAUAGCUCUUAAAGUAAAAGAGGCACAAGCAUUCUCUCCAGCCUGAAUCUUCUACCUGGGCUGUGUAUGCCAGCGUCCAGCUGCCUACUACAUAACAUUACUUGUAAGUCUCUCGGGGAUAUGCGACCCACUCAGAAUGUAUGCAGUUGCAUCUCCUUUCUCCCACUGCAGCCACCAGCCUGCUCCUCCUGCUCUGCAUCUGCAUCUUCAUCCCUCAUGACCCCUGCCACAAAGCCCAGGAGUCACUGCUGACAUCUCCCUCUUCCUCAUAUGCCAUCUAAUCAGCCCCACAGCCUAUUGUUUUUCACCUCCUGAAUAUCUUUCAUAUCUUUUCAUUUCCACAUCUGUUACCCUAACUCAUUUUGACAUUGGUCCUCUAAGUAGCCUUCUGGCCUUUAACCCUGAGGUGAGCUCUGUCCUUCACCAUGUUGCUAAGGCAGCCUUCUCACAUGCAGACCUGGCCACAUCCCUUAGGUAAUUUGUUCAAUGGCUUCUCUUCAUGGAUAACAUAAAACUAAGCUCCUUUAGGUGGCAAGUAAAAUCCUCCAAGGUAUCAUCUCCCUCAAUGACUUCUUUUUUUUUUUUUUUUUUUUUUUACAGCUGCACCUGUGGCAUAUGGAAGUUCUGGAGCUAGGGGUCAAAUUGAAGCUGCAGCUGCUGGCCUACACCACAGCCACAGCAACACUGGAUAUGAGCCACGCGUGCGACCUACAUGGCAGCUUGUGGCAAUGCCAGAUCCUUAACCCACUGAGUGAAGCCAGUGAUCAAACCUGCAUCUCCUGGACACAAUGUCAAGGUUCUUAAACCACUGAGCCACAUGGGAACUCCUAAGUGUCUUUUCAAUGUAUGCUACUUUACCAAGUGAUUUGUACUUAUUCAUCAAAAUCUUUUCCAUGGUCUCUAAUGCCUCUUCCUGCCUCAGCACUCUAAAGGUAGAACAAUAUUUUUCCUCCUGCAGAGGUUGCCUUCCCCAAUCUAUCCAACCCAGCAAACUUCUGCUUCUCCUCUAAACCCACCUCCCUCCCCUCUAGUCCCACUGCACCCUGUAAUGACUCCAUUAUAGCCUUACAUAGCACAUUAUAAUAAUCUGUUCAAAUAUCUUGCUUUCUACUAGAUUCUAAGCUCCUUUGGAGAAAAAAACAUCUUUAUAUCUUUGUAGCACCAUGUCUAGCACAGUGACGAGUACAUAUUAGGUGCUAAAUAAAUGAGAUGAACAGCUACUAUAUUUAGAUUUUGGCUAUCACCCAAUGUUCAUACCUGUGUAUAAAUUUAAACCACAAUGUUAGAACUACACUUUAAUAAUUUGAAAUAUGUAAGUUUUAAAUCUUUUAAAUAAUAUUCUAAAUAAUUAUUAACUUUUCUCUAUUUUUGUCUAGAAAGUUCUAAAGGAAGCUAGUUCUGUUUUUUUUCUUAAUGACUCGGAAAAGUUACCUUUUAAAUAAAAACUAGUAAAUUUGUAAUUGUUAAAUUUAAUUUAGGCUUUAAAAAGAAAACUAAAUGUAUCUCUCUGGAUCAAAAUACACAAGUACACAAUAUUCAAUAAUAUGUAUGAAGAAAAUAUUUCGAGAUUUUAAAAAGUAUUUGUAUAGACUAAACCAUCAGUCAUAUUUAAUUAAGUUUUGGACAUAGUUUAUGUUGAAAUUAUUAUUUAUGUCAUAACACCAUAUCUAUUUCACUCUGCACCAAAUAAUAACUCUUCUCACUUCAAAUAUAUAAUAAUUUUCAAAGACAUUGUCAGAGCCUGAAGGUCAGAUUAAAAUUUCGCUAUAAUAUUUGAAAAGAGUAGCAUGUGCUGAAACCAUGCCAUGUUGCCUGGAUUUCCAAGGGACACAUUAAAAGGAUUAUGUUCUUGUUGGAGGAAUAUAUAGGGCAAUAAACAGUUUUGUGGGUAAUUAAACAGCGAAGAGAAACCGAAACUUCCAAUUACCAGCAAAAGCCUCUUAUUGCAAAUAUGUUAUGGUACCAUGAAAAUUUCUUUUUUGUAUAUUAGUUUUUAUAACAUAUUAUUUUAUGAGCUUGAUUAUUAUUAGUUUUACACUAAGCAUUAAGCAUAUGUGAACACUUAAAAAAUUCCUAAAUUGAAUUUCCAAAAUUCAAAAUCCAAGUUAAUAUCACUAGACCCAAAAAUAACCUUCCACUUUGUAUAAACUAUUUCUAGACCCAGGGAAAAUAGGAGAAGAGAAGAGAGGACUGGCAUUUAAUCCAGAAAAGAUGUGCCUUUGGGUAGAGAUAGCUGCUGAAUAAAGCUGACAGAUUUCCACAAAAAGUGCCGUUCAUAGAUAGAAAAACUAUAUUCCACAUCUGCCGGCUAUUAAAUCUAAACUUUCUGUACAAAGACAGUUUAGCUAACCCUGGUCAUCUCUGAAAUAAGAUAUUAUUCAUCUUAGAGUAGCAGUGGUAUUCACUGAUUAUGUUAACUGAAUUAUGAUUUUUAAAAUAGAGUAAAAUGUAGAAAAAGAACUGGAAAACUAUUAUGUUAUUUUUUUCCUCUGGCUCUAUGAAUUGAAUGUUGAUAUCUCUUACCCUUUGACCCCAUUUUUAAAGACAGGUUUCAAAAAGAGAUAUAUUAUUUAAUGGGGACAUGUAAGCUUGAAUAAAGAAUUGGAAAAAUGCUAGCCAGAAGAAUUUUCCUGAUACUGUAAUACAUGUGAUAGUGGUUUUAUUCUGUGAACCAUAUUUUGUAGAAAAAAAAACCCUGUAAGGCUUGGAUGGCACUCCAAAACCUUUAUGACAGGAAAGAGAGAUGGCUGGGCCUCCGUUUGUCCAUCCCAUUCAUUGUAAAAAGACUCAAGAUCUCUUGAAUAAAGACUAUUUAUUACAGUGAUGUUUAGACAGGAAUUUCUUCUAUUGUCCACUGAUGGAUGGGGCUGUACUCUCAACCCAGCCUCUUCUCUGGACAGGCUGUUCUUUCUUCUCUUUUCCACAUCCCUUCACAGUGCAAGGGUUUCCUCCUUGACUGGCUGGAGGUGGGCCAGCCUGCCUGCCUCCACUACUGCCUCCAAGUUUUGGAGAGGGUCGUUCUGAUGCAGAUAACCAUGCUGCCACAACAAUGGGGUCUGAGAAUCCAGAGCUUCCAGAAUACUCCACCUAAAAACAAUAGCAAUAUUAACAACUGGGAGUGUCCCAGUUACUUUCAGUUGUUUAACUGAAUUGAAACCAAAACUUUUAAAUAUGAGUGAAAUCAGGUGAAGAACCCAACUAGUAAACAUGAAGAUGCAGUGUGGAUCUCUGGCCUUGCUCAGUGGGUUAAGGAUCUAGCGUUGCAGAGGGCUGUGCAACCUGGAUCUGCUGUGGCUGUGGCACAGACCAGCAGCUGCAGCUGUUGUUCGACCCCUCGCCUGGGAACUUCCAUAUGUCAUACCUGUGGCCCUAUUAAAUAAAUAAAUAAAUAAAAAUAAAUAUGAACUGUAUUAUAAACAUACAGUAUACAAUGUAGGACAAUGACACAUUUUAAAAAAUCCACAAAACACUAUAAUCUUUACUUAGACAUUCUAAGACUGAGACAGUGAAACAUCAGAACACAAUUUUUAGUAUUUUUCCCCCCCCUGUGGUAAUGGCCUAUUAUGCUAUUGUAAUUAUGUAAGCAGACUGUUUUAAUUAUCAUCGGUCAACCUUAUUUCAACUGAAUCAGAGGAAGAGAUCUUAAAUCUUAUAAAAUGCUUUGUAGCUGACCAUGUCUAUAGUACUAAGGCCUCAAAAUCUGUCUCAUGAACUAUUUCCAUCAUGCCUAAUUUUAUUUAUUUAUUUUUACAGCCACACCAGCAGUAUAUGGAAGUUUUUGGGCCAGGGGUUGAAUUGGAGCUGCAGCUGAGGCCUUUGCCACAGCCAUAGCAACACCAGAUCAGAUGCGCAUCUGUGACCUAUGCCUCAGCUUGUGGCAACGAGUGAUCCAGCCUGCAUCCUCAGGGAUACUGUGUUGGUUCUUAACUUUCUGGGCCCCAAUGGGAAUUCCCGUCAUGAUUAUUUUUUUAAAUCCAAAUUAAAACUCUGCAUUCACCAGUGAUUAAGGCAUAUAAGCAUUGCCAGUGGUGCUUCUUCAAAAUGUAGCUCUUUGGAUACUAACCCUAGACAUACUGAUUUAGAAAAUUCAACGUGGGACUUAGGAAUUAGCAAUGUUAAUACUCCCACCUCACUGAGGGAGUGAGAAUUUAUCAGAUGGACAGUCUGGAGUGGAAUAGAGCGACUCAGAAGUUAAGCAAAAUUUUGUGAUACAUAUAGUCUUCUGAGGUCUUAUUCAUAUAUUUGUUUAUUUCAAAAUAGUAUUAGUUUACUUUUUAAAAUCUUAAAGCAUUUAAUAGUAAUGAAUAUGAAGUAUUUAAAUGUAACACGUAAUCAAUGAGUUAUUUGGAAAUUACCAUUUUCAUGCAUAGCAUAUUUCAUAGGUUUAAACAAACCAGACUUUAGUUCUUUAACUAUGAGAGUUUCUUAGUUAUUAAUUUAACAUGUUACAGCUAUAAGGUUACUUUUUUACCUUAUUAUAACAUAUUAUGUUACAGCUAGAUCUUGUUUCAAUGUUCCAAAGAAAAUUUCCCCGAGCACUGUCUGGUGAUGAGGGCUAUUCUUUUUUCUCUUCAGUGUUUUUGCUUUUGUUUCUUGUGUAUAUUUCAUCUUACUUCCUCAAGGCAUCUCAGAGUGGCUUGAAUGUUGGCUUUCAAAAAGAUUGUAAAAGGCUUGGGGAAAUAAGUUGAAAUGUCUAGACAAUGAAAAAAAGGAGGUUAGCCAAAUGUAUUCAAUACAUGUUUCUGAAGGAAUGUCAUAAUGUUUCUUUAAAAAAAUUUUCCCUUGCUCUAACCAUGCAUCAUAUUUGGUAUUUGCUUUGUAAAUACUGAUGUGGUUUUUUUUUUCAGAAUGGCUUUCUUCUGAAGACCAUGUCUUACGGAUAAUUUCCUUUCAGUCUUCUAAUGAGGGACAAAAUUGAAAUAUUCUCACUGGUGUUUUGUCUUGAUGUUCCCAGGAGAGAAUGAUGUAAAGAUCCUAAAGAUACUCUAUGAAAAAGCUUUAUCUUUUCAUUUUAAAAACAUUUUUUCUAUAAUAUUAAAUUCUUUUUUAAAAUCGAGAUGUAGUUGAUGUAUAAUUUUGUAUAUAUUAGUUUCAAGUAUGCAACAUAUUGACUUGAUAUUUGUGUAUGUUGUAAAAUGAUCACCACAGCAAGUCCACCUAAUAUUCGUCACUAUACACAGGCACACAAUUUUUUUUUUAAUGAUGAGAACCUUUAAGAUCUACUCUCUAAUCAACUUUAAAUACGAAAUACAAUUUUAUUAACUAUAGCCACCCUGGUAUACAUUAUACCCCCAUGAUUUACGUAUUUUAUAUCUGGAAGUUAGUGCCUAAAGACAUUUUUUAACAUGAAAAUUUUUUUUAUCAUUUCCACUCAAAGCAAGUCGUCUUUGGUACAUGCCUUGUGACAGAUCUUAUCUAUAUUCAAAUUUUGAUAUUUUUAUCAUGUGUUCUUUGCACUAGCUUUAUAUUUUAACAUUUUAUUAAGGUAUUAUUUGAUUAAUGACGGGUUGUGUGCCCCUUAAAUUUGGGUGCCUGAGGUAAAUGUCUAAGUGGCCUCACCCUAGACUGGCCCACUUCCCUAUUACUAAUAUACUCUGUAGAAAGUACAGUAUUUAGGGUGUUCCUGUCGUGGCUUAGUGGUUAAUGAAUCCGACUAGAAACCAUGAGGUUGUGGGUUUGAUCCCUGGCCUUGCUCAGUGGGUUAAGGAUCCGGCAUUGCCAUGAGCUGUGGUGUAGGUCGCAGAUGCAGCUUGGAUCUGGUGUUGCUGUGGCUGUGACGUAAGCUGGUGGCUACAACUCCGAUUAGACCCCUAAAUUGGGAACUUCCAUAUGCUGUGGGUGUGGCCCUAGAAAAGACAAAGAAAAAAAA
rnacentral:lncRNA from 1 species